rnacentral:rRNA from 1 species
ACACUCCUGCGGGAGGCAGCAGUGGGGAAUUUUGGACAAUGGGCGAAAGCCUGAUCCAGCCAUGCCGCGUGCAGGAUGAAGGCCUUCGGGUUGUAAACUGCUUUUGUACGGAACGAAACGGCCUUUUCUAAUAAAGAGGGCUAAUGACGGUACCGUAAGAAUAAGCACCGGCUAACUACGUGCCAGCAGCCGCGGUAAUACGUAGGGUGCAAGCGUUAAUCGGAAUUACUGGGCGUAAAGCGUGCGCAGGCGGUUAUGUAAGACAGUUGUGAAAUCCCCGGGCUCAACCUGGGAACUGCAUCUGUGACUGCAUAGCUAGAGUACGGUAGAGGGGGAUGGAAUUCCGCGUGUAGCAGUGAAAUGCGUAGAUAUGCGGAGGAACACCGAUGGCGAAGGCAAUCCCCUGGACCUGUACUGACGCUCAUGCACGAAAGCGUGGGGAGCAAACAGGAUUAGAAACCCCAGUAGUCC